UACAUUUUAGUAUAAGAGGUACAGGGGCCUUUGAAGUUCCUAGUGGCAGUUUGAUUCUGCCAAGUGUAA
rnacentral:tRNA from 2 species